AUCUUGAAAGUAACAGCUGGUUAUGGAGAGAAUGCAUCGCUCUCUGUAUCAUCAGGCAAUAAAGUCUUUUUUAAACAAGAAUUUCAUAUUGAGAAAAGAGAACUGAGAAUCGCAUCGAAGGUACCCGAGAUUCUUACUGCUGGUUCCAAACUAGAAAAUAUCAUUUUUGAAAUUGUCAACUGUGAGGGUAUUGUGGAUGAUACUAUCCACGAUGAAGAGAAAACUGGUCUGUCACAUAUGCUAACAAUAAAGGCUGAUUAGCUUAAUUUGGGAGAG